AAUCAACGCUGGCGGCGUGCCUCAGACAUGCAAGUCGAACGCGAAACCUUCCUUCGGGAGGGGAGUAGAGUGGCGCACGGGUGAGUAACACGUAGGUAAUCUACCUUUGGGUGGGAAUAACAGCCGGAAACGGCUGCUAAUACCGCAUAAUGCAGCGGCUCGACAUCGAGACAGUUGUUAAAGCGGGGGAUCGUAAGACCUCGCGCCUAAAGAGGAGCCUGCGGCAGAUUAGCUAGUUGGUAGGGUAAUGGCUUACCAAGGCGACGAUCUGUAGCCGGCCUGAGAGGGCGGUCGGCCACACUGACACUGACAUACGGGUCAGACUCC
rnacentral:rRNA from 1 species